GGCGAUGGGUCAAUCACCAAGCAGGACUACUAUAAACUAGACACCAACCACGCCCACGCUGAUAAGCAGUUUGCUCUGUAUGAUGUUGAUAAAGACGGGGCACUCACCUUGAAGGAUGUCAAAAUAAUUGUGGGCAAGUUUGACACAGAUGGUGAUGGUAAAGUAACACUGUCCGAAUUCGCAGCGAAGUACUCCAGGCUCCUGGUUGGUACAGGCGGCAUCCCUAUUGGCCAGUAGACGAACAAUGGAGAAUAAUGUCGAUGUGAUGGAAAUAAAUAUAGAUAUAUAA